rnacentral:tRNA from 1 species
AAGGGAGACCUAAUUCGGGUAGAAGACGAAAAAAUAGUAGUCGAAACCAAGAAUCAAUCCCAAAAGGUCGGAACGAGGUAUGUGGCUUUCAAACUAGGUUCUGGGUUCACAAAAGACCUGAAUCAGGAACAAGGGCUAUUAGCUCAGGUGGUUAGAGCGCACCCCUGAUAAGGGUGAGGUCCCUGGUUCGAGUCCAGGAUGGCCCACCUGCACAGGUGGCAAAAACAAGAGAAACGAGGAAUCAGCACCUUAUCUUACUUACAUAGUAAGAGAGAAUGCUGGCUCUGAGUAAAGAGUCCAGAGGAACCUUGAAGACUGCAUAGAGCUAGGUGAAAAAGCCAAAAAAGAAGACCGCAA